rnacentral:tRNA from 4 species
GCGCCUUUAGCUCAGUCGGUAGAGCAGCGGACUUUUAAUCCGUUGGUCCUGGGUUCGAGUCCCAGAGGGCGCA